rnacentral:rRNA from 1 species
AAAGGUACCAAGAGGGUGCAUUUUGUGAGGAACUUGAUCAGGGAGGUCGCUGGGUUUGCCCCGUAUGAGAAGCGUAUCACUGAGCUUCUCAAGGUUGGCAAGGACAAGCGUGCCCGGAAGGUGGCGAAGCAAAAGUUGGGUACCCACAAGAGGGCGAAGAAGAAGAGAGAGGAGAUGUCCAGUGUCCUCAGGAAGAUGAGGUGUGUAAAAUUUGGGCAGUUCUGGAACUAA